GGUAUAGACCCGAAACCCGGUGAUCUAGCCAUGGGCAGGUUGAAGGUUGGGUAACACUAACUGGAGGACCGAACCGACUAAUGUUGAAAAAUUAGCGGAUGACCUGUGGCUGGGGGUGAAAGGCCAAUCAAACCGGGAGAUAGCUGGUUCUCCCCGAAAGCUAUUUAGGUAGCGCCUCGUGAAUUCAUCUCCGGGGGUAGAGCACUGUUUCGGCUAGGGGGCCAUCCCGGCUUACCAACCCGAUGCAAACUGCGAAUACCGGAGAAUGUUAUCACGGGAGACACACGGCGGGUGCUAACGUCCGUCGUGAAGAGGGAAACAACCCAGACCGCCAGCUAAGGUCCCAAAGUCAUGGUUAAGUGGGAAACGAUGUGGGAAGGCCCAGACAGCCAGGAUGUUGGCUUAGAAGCAGCCAUCAUUUAAAGAAAGCGUAAUAGCUCACUGGUCGAGUCGGCCUGCGCGGAAGAUGUAACGGGGCUAAACCAUGCACCGAAGCUGCGGCAGCGAACGUAUCACUUAAAGCGAUUCAGCGGGUUACGAUUGACGGAGCGAAGCGACGUCAAAGCGUAUACAAAGUCGAGUCGGUUUAAGGAUACGUUCGUUGGGUAGGGGAGCGUUCUGUAAGCCUG
rnacentral:rRNA from 1 species